rnacentral:rRNA from 1 species
CCUACGGGGGGCAGCAGUGAGGAAUAUUGGUCAAUGGGCGCGAGCCUGAACCAGCCAAGUAGCGUGAAGGAUGACUGCCCUACGGGUUGUAAACUUCUUUUGUCGGGGAACAAAGGCGGAGACGCGUCUCCGGAUGAGUGUACCCGAAGAAAAAGCAUCGGCUAACUCCGUGCCAGCAGCCGCGGUAAUACGGAGGAUGCGAGCGUUAUCCGGAUUUAUUGGGUUAAAGGGGUGCGCAGGCGGGAGAACAAGUCAGCGGUAAAAUGUGGGGGCUCAACCCCGGCCGGCCGUUGAAAUUGGUUGUCUAGAAUUGGAGAGAAGUAUGCGGAAUUCGUGGUGUAGCGGUGAAAUGCAUAGAUAUCACGAAGAACUCCGAUUGCGAAGGCAGCAUACCGGCUCCAUACUGACGCUGAGGCACGAAAGCGUGGGGAUCGAACAGGAUUAGAUACCCGUGUAGUC